AGUGAACGCUGGCGGUAGGCCUAACACAUGCAAGUCGAACGGCAGCACAGUAAGAGCUUGCUCUUACGGGUGGCGAGUGGCGGACGGGUGAGGAAUACAUCGGAAUCUACUUUUUCGUGGGGGAUAACGUAGGGAAACUUACGCUAAUACCGCAUACGACCUACGGGUGAAAGCAGGGGAUCUUCGGACCUUGCGCGAUUGAAUGAGCCGAUGUCGGAUUAGCUAGUUGGCGGGGUAAAGGCCCACCAAGGCGACGAUCCGUAGCUGGUCUGAGAGGAUGAUCAGACACACUGGAACUGAGACACGGUCCAGACUCCUACGGGAGGCAGCAGUGGGGAAUAUUGGACAAUGGGCGCAAGCCUGAUCCAGCCAUACCGCGUGGGUGAAGAAGGCCUUCGGGUUGUAAAGCCCUUUUGUUGGGAAAGAAAAGCAGCAGGUUAAUACCCCGCUGUUCCGACGGUACCCAAAGAAUAAGCACCGGCUAACUUCGUG
rnacentral:rRNA from 1 species